rnacentral:rRNA from 1 species
CGAAUAAGACCACGAUGGCCUCGGCCAUUGGGGUCAAAGAUGGCCUCUGCCUGCAAGCUGUCGAUUGAGGAUGAGCCCGCGUCCCAUUAGCUAGUUGGUGGGGUAAUGGCCCACCAAGGCAACGAUGGGUAGCUGGUCUGAGAGGAUGGCCAGCCACACUGGAACUGGAACACGGUCCAGACUCCUACGGGAGGCAGCAGUGAGGAAUUUUGCGCAAUGGGGGAAACCCUGACGCAGCAACGCCGCGUGAGUGAUGAAGGCCUUCGGGUUGUAAAGCUCUGUCAAGUGGGAAGAAACUUUUUCGGCUGAAUAAUCCGAAAAACUGACGGUACCACUGAAGGAAGCACCGGCUAACUCCGUGCCAGCAGCCCGCGGUAAUACGGAGGGUGUAAGCGUUAUUCGGAUUUAUUGGGCGUAAAGGGCGUGUAGGCGGUCUGAACAGUCAGGUGUGAAAGCCCCUUGGCUUAACCAAGGAAGUGCACUUGAAACUAUCAGACUUU